rnacentral:rRNA from 1 species
GACGAACGCUGGCGGCGUGCUUAACACAUGCAAGUCGAACGGAAAGGCCCUGCUUUUGUGGGGUGCUCGAGUGGCGAACGGGUGAGUAACACGUGAGUAACCUGCCCUUGACUUUGGGAUAACUUCAGGAAACUGGGGCUAAUACCGGAUAGGAGCUCCUGCUGCAUGGUGGGGGUUGGAAAGUUUCGGCGGUUGGGGAUGGACUCGCGGCUUAUCAGCUCGUUGGUGGGGUAGUGGCUUACCAAGGCUUUGACGGGUAGCCGGCCUGAGAGGGUGACCGGCCACAUUGGGACUGAGAUACGGACCAGACUCCUACGGGAGGCAGAAGUGGGGAAUAUUGCACAAUGGGCGGAAGCCUGAUGCAGCAACGCCGCGUGCGGGAUGACGGCCUUCGGGUUGUAAACCGCUUUCGCCUGUGACGAAGCGUGAGUGACGGUAAUGGGUAAAGAAGCACCGGCUAACUACGUG